rnacentral:ribozyme from 1 species
GGAAUUAAAGGAAAUAAAUAUGUUACUACUUUUUUCCCAAGCACCUUCACAUAUUCAUUUACUUUAAUUCCCCAACUAUAGUAAAUCAGCAAUUAUAGUUAUUAAUUCUGACUUCGAUGUUUUAUAUGAUGUUUUGACCCCGGUACUUAACAGGCACGUGGUGAGUUGU